rnacentral:rRNA from 1 species
UACAGAGGGUGCGAGCGUUGUCCGGAAUCACUGGGCGUAAAGGGCGCGUAGGCGGCCUGAUAAGAAGGGGGUGAAAUCUUGCGGCUCAACCGCAAGGCUGCCUUCUAAACUGUCAGGCUGGAGCACGGUAGAGGCAGAUGGAAUUCCCGGUGUAGCGGUGGAAUGCGUAGAGAUCGGGAAGAACACCAGUGGCGAAGGCGGUCUGCUGGGCCGUUGCUGACGCUGAGGCGCGAAAGCGUGGGGAGCAAACAGG